rnacentral:rRNA from 1 species
UCGGGAACUCUGAGACAGGUGCUGCAUGGCUGUCGUCAGCUCGUGUUGUGAAAUGUUGGGUUAAGUCCCGCAACGAGCGCAACCCUUAUCCUUGUUUGCCAGCGAGUAAUGUCGGGAACUCCAGGGAGACUGCCGGUGAUAAACCGGAGGAAGGUGGGGACGACGUCAAGUCAUCAUGGCCCUUACGAGUAGGGCUACACACGUGCUACAAUGGCGCAUACAGAGGGCGGCCAACUUGCGAAAGUGAGCGAAUCCCAAAAAGUGCGUCGUAGUCCGGAUUGGAGUCUGCAACUCGACUCCAUGAAGUCGGAAUCGCUAGUAAUCGUGGAUCAGAAUGCCACGGUGAAUACGUUCCCGGGCCUUGUACACACCGCCCGUCACACCAUGGGA